UACGUAGGGGGCUAGCGUUGUCCGGAAUCAUUGGGCGUAAAGCGCGCGUAGGCGGCCCGGUAAGUCCGCUGUGAAAGUCAAAGGCUCAACCUUUGAAUGUCAGCGGAUACUGCCAGGCUAGAGUCCGGAAGAGGCGAGUGGAACUCCUGGUGUAGCGGUGGAAUGCGCAGAUAUCAGGAAGAACACCAACGGCGAAGGCGGGGUCUCUGGGCAGUAACUGACGCUGAGGCGCGAAAGCUAGGGGGAGCAAACAGG
rnacentral:rRNA from 1 species